AAUGAACCAAUCAAAAGAGAAAGAAAAAAAGAGAGAAAGCGGGAAGAGAGACCAGUGAAUUCUUGAAGGUCUGAAAGGGAAUUGACUGUCUUUUCUUCUUUUGAUAUUUCUUCCUCUCUU
rnacentral:ribozyme from 11 species